rnacentral:rRNA from 1 species
GACAGAGGGUGCAAACGUUGUUCGGAAUUACUGGCGUAAAGCGCGUGUAGGCGGCCAUGCAAGUCGGAUGUGAAAGCCCUCGGCUCAACCGGGGAAGUGCCACUCGGAAACUGCAAGGGCUAGAGUCUCGGAGAGGAUCGUGGAAUUCGUCGGUGUAGAGGUGAAAUUCGUAGAUAUCGAGAGGAACACCGGUGGCGAAGGCGGCAUCCUGGGACCGGAAUAUUGACCGCUGAUG